rnacentral:rRNA from 1 species
UACGAAGGGGGCUAGCGUUGUUCGGAUUUACUGGGCGUAAAGCGCACGUAGGCGGAUCGAUCAGUCAGGGGUGAAAUCCCGGAGCUCAACUCCGGAACUGCCUUUGAUACUGGGUGUCUUGGAGUGUGGAAGAGGUGAGUGGAAUUCCGAGUGUAGAGGUGAAAUUCGUAGAGAUCAUGAGGAAGACCAGUGGCGAAGGCGGGUCUCUGGACAGUUCCUGACACUGAGACACGAAGGCCAGGGGAGCAAACGGG